GUGAGACGUGACAUUGUGACGAGGCGUGGUGACGUGGCGUUGUGAUGAGACGUGGUGAUGGGAUGUGGUGAGACGUGACAUUGUGACGAGGCGUGGUGACGUGGUGUUGUGACGUGACAUUGUGAUAAGACUUGGUGAGACGUGACAUUGUGACGAGGCAUGAUGACGUGGUGUUGUGACGUGACGUGCAAGUUCUAGUUCACAUCACAUGUUGUCACCAUGUCACUACACAACGUCACGUCUUGUCUCCUGUCUCUCCCUCUCUCUGUCUCUCCCUCCCUCUCUCUCUCUG
ensembl:lncRNA